rnacentral:lncRNA from 1 species
AACUCAAGAGCUUUCACUCCACACUUGCCCACACGUUUUUGCCUCCAAGCUUCCAAGCUUUCAAGUGCUCAAGUGUCCUAGCUUUUCAAAGCUUCAAAAGCUCUCAAACUUCUUCUUCUAAUCUUCUUGUUCAUUUUUACAAGUAAGAAGUGUUGUUUGCUUUAAUAUUCCACUCCUCUAAUCACCUUUUGUGUGUGUC